AUUGAACGCUGGCGGAAUGCUUUACACAUGCAAGUCGAACGGCAACGGGGGCUUCGGCCUGCCGGCGAGUGGCGAACGGGUGAGUAAUGCAUCGGAACGUGCCCAGUCAUGGGGGAUAACUACGCGAAAGCGUAGCUAUUACCGCAUACGCCCUGUGGGGGAAAGCGGGGGAUCACAAGACCUCGCGUGAUUGGAGCGGCCGAUGUCGGAUUAGCUAGUUUGUGGGGUAAAGGCCUACCAAGGCGACGAUCCGUAGCGGGUCUGAGAGGAUGAUCCGCCACACUGGAACUGAGACACGGCCCAGACUCCUACGGGAGGCAGCAGUGGGGAAUUUUUAGGACAAUGGGCGAAAGCCUGAUCCAGCCAUGCCGCGUGAGUGAAGAAGGCCUUCGGGUUGUAAAGCUCUUUCAGACGGAAA
rnacentral:rRNA from 1 species